rnacentral:tRNA from 1 species
UCUUUGAUGGUCUAACGGUCAUGAUUUCCGCUUGUCAUAUGGCAAAGCGCGGGAGACCGGGGUUCGACUCCCCGUCAGAGAG